AUUGAACGCUGGCGGCAGGCCUAACACAUGCAAGUCGAACGGUAACAGGAAGAAGCUUGCUUCUUUGCUGACGAGUGGCGGACGGGUGAGUAAUGUCUGGGAAACUGCCUGAUGGAGGGGGAUAACUACUGGAAACGGUAGCUAAUACCGCAUAACGUCGCAAGACCAAAGAGGGGGACCUUCGGGCCUUUUGCCAUCGGAUGUGCCCAGAUGGGAUUAGCUAGUAGGGGGGGUAACGGCUCACCUAGGCGACGAUCCCUAGCUGGUCUGAGAGGAUGACCAGCCACACUGGAACUGAGACCCGGUCCAGACUCCUACGGGAGGCAGCAGUGGGGAAUAUUGCACAAGGGGCGCAAGCCUGAUGCAGCCAUGCCGCGUGUAUGAAGAAGGCCUUCGGGUUGUAAAGUACUUUCAGCGGGGAGGAAGGGAGUAAAGUUAAUACCUUUGCUCAUUGACGUUACCCGCAGAAGAAGCACCGGCUAACUCCGU
rnacentral:rRNA from 1 species